AUUAGAUACCCUGGUAGUCCACGCUGUAAACGAUGGGUACUAGGUGUGGGUAGUUCAACUCUAUCCGUGCCGCAGCAAACGCAAUAAGUACCCCGCCUGGGGAGUACGGCGCAAGGGUUGAAACUCAAAGGAAUUGACGGGGGCCCGCACAAGCAGCGGAGCAUGUGGUUUAAUUCGAAGCAACGCGAAGAACCUUACCAGGGCUUGACAUGGCCAUGACGUAUCUGGAGACAGGUAUUUCCUUCGGGACAUGGUCACAGGUGGUGCAUGGUUGUCGUCAGCUCGUGUCGUGAGAUGUUGGGUUAAGUCCCGCAACGAGCGCAACCCUUAUCGCUAGUUGCUAACACGUAAUGGUGAGCACUCUAGGGAGACUGCCGGGGACAAACUCGGAGGAAGGUGGGGAUGACGUCAAAUCAUCAUGCCCCUUAUGUCCUGGGCUACACACGUGCUACAAUGGCCGGAACAGAGGGCAGCGAAGGAGUAAUCCGGAGCAAAUCCCAAAAACCCGGUCUCAGUUCGGAUUGUGGGCUGCAACCCGCCCACAUGAAGUCGGAGUUGCUAGUAAUCGCGGUAUCGCCUUGCCGCGGUGAAUGCGUUCCCGGGCCUUGUACACACCGC
rnacentral:rRNA from 1 species